CUCUGCCCCUAGGUUCCUACAUAAGUGCUCUGAAAUCUCCGCGGAAUUUCAGAUAGAAUUGUGUUAAAGCCUGCAGGAAGUGUCCGCCUGACUGCUGUAAAGGUGGCUUUCUCUUGAGCACUCCACUGCUGUUAGCAAAUCUUGAUGGCUCCAUCAAGACAGCUCCAGCAUUUACCCACUUCUUCCUGCCAGCAGCCACCAUCUGCCCUGCUGGGGACAGCAAGG